ACCCGCACCCGCACCGGCGAGCUAACUCCGGCGCCUCAUCGUUCUGCCCCUGUCUCGCGCCGCUGUCUGCCGGUACUCUCUUGCCUGUGGGGAGCGGCGACUUCGCUGCUUGCAUUCUUCUGGCUUCUUUAGAGUGUGCUUGCUUUGUAUUAGGGCCCAGAGGCUCUGAAAGAGUGCAGUUCCAACAGAAAGAGAUUUGGGGUGGAGGAAGUAAAACGUGUGUAGGACCAGCAGGUGGUGCUGCUCAAAAAUCCAGCUUUGCUAUCCUGAGGAAGCUCUGGGGCGCCUAGCUGAGUUUCGGCUUAAAGAUCCCUUAGCAAAAGUACUGCUUGUUCCCUUUCAAGAAAAAAAAUGGGGAGGGGGGGGACGGAGGGGAGAGAGUACUGUAGGACUUUCCAAUUUGUUCUCCUUUUUAAUGGUUGAGCAAUUUAAUCGGGGAAAAAAUGAGUAUUAGUUUUCUUUUGAAACCCCACCCUUUUUUUAAAAAAAACAGAAUAGUGCCUGAGAAACUGAAGAAAUUAAUCUGCAUGAUAAUCUAAAAUUAAAGAGGUUAUUUUGAUCGCAAGCCUGUGGUUUUAAACAUCAGAACUCUAGCAGUAAUUCACCAUUUUAGCAUGUACAUUUCCUUUUUCAGAACUGAUUAAAUUUUCCUAAUUUGUAGGAAAAUGAAGAGGGUGGAAGAGCAGACCUUUUAUCUUUAGAAGAGUAUGUAUUUCAACAUUCUAUGACAGCGUCUUCUCAUUUGCAUUAGUGUUGCAUUUUGGGAUUUCAUUAACUGUUUGAUUCAGGAUUGGAAGUUUUCAGUGUCCUUAUAGGUAUAGAAAUGUAUAUGUUUUCUGUUAUUCCUCUGAAAUCAGUUUAUUUCAGGGUUCUCAUUCAUAUAUAUCAAUAUGUAACCCAAUCUCUUGAAGGGUGCAUCUAGUUCAGUGAUGCUUGCGCGUGUAUGCAAUACUGUUCCAUACAUGUAGAAAUAUUGAAGUGUAUAUCCUUUAACUUUAAGCUUAGUUUUCUAUCUUUAUCUUCUUAUUAGCCACUCAGUUUUGUCCCUCUAUCCUACACAGCCCAUGAACAGAGAAUAGCUAAAAUUUGAUAUGUACUCGAAGAUUCCAGCUUGAAGAGGUAAUGCUAAUAUUAACUAACAAUGUGCCAGGUGUUGCUCUAAGUGCUUUAUUCAUAUAUACCCACUUAAUUCUCAUAAUAAACUAUGAGGUAGGCACUAUUAUUAUUCCCAUUUUACAGAGAGAGAGACACACACAGCUGAGAUUUGAAUCCAGGCACAGACUGUAAGAUGUCAGCUAGUUCAACCCCUUCUCACUCAUACCCAAGGUCUUUGUAUUUCAGUAAAUGGUUGCAUCUUUCCUUGUUCAAACCCACCUUUAACUCCUCUCUUUUAUGUCUUAUAUGCAUUUGGCAUAUAACCUGUUGGCUCUUCCUUCAAAGUAUAUCCAACUACUUACCACCUCCGCUACAAUCUGCAUCAUCUCUUGUUUGGAUUAUAGUGUUACGGUAGACCAGGAACUAGUCUUUUGACUCUAUCCUUAAUACAGAAUCCUAAAUAAAUCUACUUAAAAAGAAGUGAGAUCGUACCACUCCUUUGCUCAAAGUCUCCUGUGGCUUCCCAACACAAGUAAAAACCAAAGUCCUAACGAUGGCUUUAAAAUCCUCCCCUCAUUACCUCUUUGACCCCACAGACUGUUUACCCAGCUUUGUAUUCCCAGAAAGCUCUCCACAAGCUGCCAACCUCAUAGUCUUUGCAGUUGUGGUUUCCUCUGCUUAGAACACUCUUCCCCAUCAUGCUCCCUCCAUAUGUGCUCAGAUGUCCAACUCUUCAGUCAGUCCCUCUACUUGUCAGCAUAUUUUAAGUCAUGAUGUUUCCAUUCCCAAUAUUUCAUAUUUCCUCCUUUACUUUUUAAUACUUAUCACAGUGUAAUGGAUAAUUUAUUUUACUUACUAAUCUUCAUCAUAUUUCUCAUCACAUUAGGACGCAAGACACAGGAGGCCAGGAAUGUGUGUUCUGUUUUGUAUCUCAACUGCCAGGAAUAGUGCCUGACACACUUAAAGAGGUUCUCUGUAAAUAUGUGUUACAUGAAUGAGUAAAUGAAUGAAUGAAUGAAUGAAUACACACAUGGCCGGGCAGUAGCUCACGCCUGUAAUCCCAGGACUUUAGGAGGCCGAAGUGGGCGGAUCACGAGGUCAGUAGAUCAAGACCACCGUGGCUAACACAGUGAAACCCUGUCUCUACUAAAAACACAAAAAAAUUAGCUGGGCAUGGUGGCACGCGCCUGUAAUCCCAGCUACUCGGGAGGCUGAGGCAGGAGAAUCGCUUGAACCUGGGAGGCGGAAGUUGCCCGAGAUCGUGUCACUGCACUCCAGCCUGCACUGCAACAGAGCAAGACUCCGUCUCAAAAAAACCCCAAAAACCACAUUUGUGUAUUAGUUGCAUAUGAAAAGCAGAAUUGAAUGCAUGGAAUACUAUACACCCUACCUCCAUCAGCCACUUGAAAGAAAGAUAGAAGUUUAUAUCUUUGAAUAACACAGGACAGCACCUCUCAACAUUGUCAGAGUGCUGGUUUCCAGUAAUUAAGAGUAACUGGUUUCCAGUAAUUUUAAGUACCAAAACUUCAAAUUAUUUGCUUAAAUAAAUCAGAGCCUAACAGUUUCAAUGUAUUUCUGUAAUAAUGUUACUGUCACUGGGAUUCCAUUUUGCUUCAUUGAAUCAAAGGUAAAGAAGUUGCAGCUGACUGCUAGGAAUUACCCAGUUGCCUGUUUGCUUAUAGCUUAUUGUCUAUUUCCCACAACUUACAAAAUACUUUGCUGAAUACCACACAUCUCCAGGCACCUACUCUUCUCCAUUUAUCCUUCCAACACUCAAAAAUUGUCCAAUGUUAUUUGUUUUACUUAAGGAUCAAAGCAUUUUUUUUUGUUUACUUAAUAUCUGAAGACAUCCAUGAAAAUGCAUGAGAAAAUGAUGUGUUACAAUAGAAUGUACGUUGAAACCACUCGUGGCUAGUUUAGGGCGGCGGUGUUCCAAGUGUUAUCUAGUGACCCAUAGGGGUCCUUUGACUCUUGCAGAGUGUCUGAGGGAAAAUUGUUCUUAUAAUAAUACUAAGACUCUAGUUGCUUUGUUUACUUGCACUCUCAAAUGUACAGUGGAGUUUUCCAGAAGCUACAUGGUAUGUGAUGUAGCAAUAGAUUGAUUAUAGAAGCAGAUAUGAGAAUUUGACUAUAUCUAUUAAACCAGUCAUUAAAACGAUGUAAAAAAAAA
rnacentral:lncRNA from 10 species